CGAACACUAAAUAAAUACGCGAACACCUUAUUUCCUUUGCCUAAUACAUCUGCCAUAAAAAAUAAUGGUGCAAUAUACAUACGGUCCGUAUGGAAAUUUAGCUUGUUGCCAUGAUAUUAUUCCUAGUUACCUAUAAGAAGAAAUGUUUUGGAUAUCUGUGGGUACUGCAAUAUUAUAAUUAUGUAAAUUACACAUUUAGUGGAAUCAACAUACAUACAUACAUACCGCCACCUGAAAUAAAGUAGGAAGAUAUAUAAAACAGAUUUCAUCCGCUCAAAGGCUGUUACGUCGAUUACCUAGUCCUGUUUGAAUCGGAUUUUCCAAUAAGAGUGAUAAAUGGCACGUUCAAAAACCAAUGACUUCAAAUAACUCCAAAAGAAGUGGUAUAAUGGUGUUCAGUCACAACUUUUUGGUGGCCAUUCAAUGUCAUAAUUUAUUAAAAUCAUUGAAGCCCCAAACUUUUCUCCGUCUUGCUGGAUCAGAUGUUGUCAAAAUUAACUUCUUCCAAUUGCGGCCAGAGUUGGUUUUCAUCGAUAACUAACCGCUCUCCAUUGACAAUAAUGUUGUAACCAGCUUCAUUUAGAAACAAGUACGGAUAAAUGAUUCCACCAGACCAAAACCACAACAAACUAUCAAUUUAAGUGGUGAAUCGACAGUUUUGUUUAUGAACUCAGAUGAAAGUAAGUCUCAUCGGAGAUGAUUUUCUUAACUAUUUAUUAUUAUUUUCAUAAUAAAUUUGAAUAAUGUGUAAACUUUGUUCUUGCGUAUAAUUUUCCAUGAUAAAAUUGGCAAUAUUACGAUUCUUUCGGCGGUAUUUGUCAUGACAUGUAAAGAAAAACAAAACAAAAUAAGAGUGAAUUGCAUAUAAAA